AACUUGGGGGCAGCUGCCCCAUUCGGGUCUACUGUUGGUGGACUGGAAGAUGAGCAGGGGUGAAGGACCAGAUUGACACUGGGUAAGCGUUCAGGGACUUGGCUGCCUGAGAGGGCAGCAGCCCAGCUUCUUUCUGCACCCUGGAGAAGGCUCCCAGACAAUCCUGCUCACAGGGCCAAGGAAGGAGCCUGAGCCCCAGGUGCAUCAUGGGAGACCUGGCCCCCUGAUCCAACCCUGCAUCCCCAAGGAUAUGUUGAUGCAGACAAGACCGGACAGGAUGAAAUUUCACGUGCCCACUUCACCCCAAGUCUCCAGGAGAGGAGGAGAAAGCGCCAGAGGAGGAAGGAGGAGACUCGAACGUCCCGUCCACCCCUGCACCAACCAGACCGGGAGCCUUAACCGUGGGAGUCGACCUGUCCAUCGAGGCGGAAAAAAAAAAUUAAGUAUCUCCUCAUAUCCUGAUCCAAACAAACUGGGCAACGUUUACUGCUCCUAUUAAAUGAUCUGAACUCUAAGAAGCCUCUCUCACAUUUUUAUAUUCAAGAUGGAAAAAGUAUUUGGAUUUUUCCUCACGGGAUAUAUCCCCAAUCCAUUUUCAGGGGAAAGAACUCUGCUGGUUAGGAUGUCCUUAAAAUUCAGUCAGGGGAGAGAUAGGAGCGACCAGGAGCCUUUACUUAGGAAGCAAUAAUGAGGAAAAUAAAGGAGACAUAAAAUACAUAGUAGUGUUAGGCUAUUGAAAAGUCCCUAAAAUCCAAGGGAAAUUUACCUCACGUCUCCUUGAAAAGAGAGAAUAAAAUGUCUUAGGAUGAGGCUCCCUGAUUUAGAACAGUUCACUCUCCUGACUAUUGGGAUUGGGUUGAUAUUCCCUAUGAGGUUUGGCUUUAGUUGAAGAAGAGAGGCAAGAAAAUUCUUGCCCCCCCUCGAGUGAUGUGAUUCUGAAGGAGAUCUGGAAAAAAAUUGCCCCUGCACCUUGUGAAAAUGGUGGUAGAGUCUGUGCUCAUGGACUCAAACCCAGGUUGAUAUUUUUCAGAGACUUAACCUGCCCACUUCUGGGAGGACCCCAUCCGUCAAGCAUCCGGCCAGGCAGAGGUGCGUCCCGAGACAGCAGCAGCGGCCGAGCCGAUGGAAUGGUGAGGAGGGCUAGAUGAAAAGAUGCUGGCAGCAGCAGAGGCCUGCAACCUGAAUUCCAGACCUCCGAUUGGCUCGGCUUCUCCCAGAAUAUCGGAGGCAUGAAGACAGCAGUGAGAAAAGACCUUGGCUACAGCUCACGUGGCAAGGGGUGGAUAAAGGCAAAACCCUUUCCGGCUCUGAACCGAUCCCCAGCACUGUAAGCUAAGUCUUUGUGGCCAGGAAGACAGAGGUGAAACACAAAUAGUUUUCAUUAUGCCAACAAUCUCCUGAUUGGAUCGUUUGACCCAAGGUCUUCACGGCUGGAAAAGAUACUGUGGGGUUUAAAAAAGGUAGAUUUUUGCUCUGUGCACAACCUCUCCUGCUUAUUU